rnacentral:lncRNA from 1 species
AGUUAUAACAUACGGUGUACUCCCUCCAUAAAGAAAUGUAAGAGCGUUAGUGAUCUAAACGCUCUUAUAUUUCUUUAUGGAGUGAGUACUUGUUUAGCGAAUGCUGAAUGCGUGUACAUACAUUGGUAAUAGUAUUACUUAUAGAGUUCCUUGGUUUGGCUUCUUAUUGGAGGGUGGCUGUUGAGCAUCUGUUGGAAAGGCAGUUCAUUUUUGCUAGAUCAAAACUUAAUAAUUAAACCUCAAAUCAAAUCGUUUGUAGUGUAUCUCAUCUAUAGGAGGCCUGGAGAGUUGUUAACUCAAGGAAGUGGAGUCGCAACCACUUUUCCUCUGCAGGAAGUGUAUGCAAGGCUGAUUUCUGAAGGAUAAACUUCAUCUACCUGUCUAUCAAUUCUUUUUCCUAACACGAUUGUAGUAAGCCUGAAUUUUCCACAACUGUCUCAUAGAAUUUGCCUCUCUUUUUCAGCUCGAAUGUAUUUCCUGUGGUUACACAUGGUUUUCGUCAAGAGAUGCCAUCUCAUCGCUGACGGUCGAUACUCCAAGUUCUGGUGGGAAUGUCGGUACCGCUCCCUGGGCGACAGCAAAGUUUGAUGUCCUUCAGAAGCAGCUAGUGAGCCCUCGGGAUCAGCCAGACAAUAAGGCAAGUGCUGAUGCUCUCCAGAAGAACGCGGUGGCAUCCAUGCCUAAACUUGAGAAACAGAAAUCAUUCAUCAAACCGAAGCCAGAGGAACCCUCUGCACCCACACUGGAGAAACAGAGGGCGUUCACCAAGCCAAAGCCGGAGGAACCCUCUGCACCUUCAGCUAGUCGUGAGUGAAUGAUCAUGGGCAUUGCUAUGUUUCAGAGAUUGUACCCUGGCAGCUCUUAAACAUGCCAACCUGCAGUAAAGCAUGAAUAGGAUGACAACACUUUCUUGUAGUCUAAGGUUGAGGCAGUUGCACAGCGUGUGUGUGACCAUCACUCGCGGAACUAGCUUCGCAUGCGCAGGCUAAAACUUUCGUUAAACUAGUUUCAUACUUCUAGAAGCUACUUUUGAUCUCACUCUUGUUACGGUUGGCACUAAAAAACAGUGGGGGGCAAGUGGUUAGCUCUUGGUGAUUUCUGUUCCGCCGUCGACGAGGCCGAGGUUGGGGAGCAAGAGCCACCGUAUUAGAUGAAGUAGUCAAACAUGCAAACACAGAGAAGUAGAGAGGGGAACUAUUUUAUUAAUGAUUGAUCUAUGUUACAAUAAUUGCUCCUCGUCUAAAUAUACAGGGAAACACUUUGUAUCAUAAGCCUGAUACAUUUCACUCGUCAGACGAAGCAACAUCGUUGAUUAUUUUGUAUCACACGGCCGAGAGCUCCCAGCAUAUCUCCGUAAAUGUCGUUCCCCAAUUAUUUGAGCUAUUCUCCGUCUACAUGGCUAAUUAUUUGAGCUAUUCUUCUCCGUCUACAUGGCUCCUGUCAUGCAC